rnacentral:rRNA from 1 species
GACGAACGCUGGCGGCGUGCCUAAUACAUGCCAGUAGAACGCUGAAGGAGGAGCUUGCUUCUCUGGAUGAGUUGCGAACGGGUGAGUAACGCGUAGGUAACCUGCCUGGUAGCGGGGGAUAACUAUUGGAAACGAUAGCUAAUACCGCAUAAUAGCAGUUGUUGCAUGACAACUGUUUGAAAGGUGCAAUUGCACCACUACCAGAUGGACCUGCGUUGUAUUAGCUAGUUGGUGGGGUAACGGCUCACCAAGGCGACGAUACAUAGCCGACCUGAGAGGGUGAUCGGCCACACUGGGACUGAGACACGGACCAGACUCCUACGGGAGGCAGCAGUAGGGAAUCUUCGGCAAUGGACGGAAGUCUGACCGAGCAACGCCGCGUGAGGGAAGAAGGUUUUCGGAUCGUAAAGCUCUGUUGUAAGAGAAGAACGAGUGUGAGAGUGGAAAGUUCACACUGUGACGGUAUCUUACCAGAAAGGGACGGCUAACUACGUG